rnacentral:rRNA from 1 species
CAGCAGCAGCCGCGGUAAUACAGAGGGUGCGAGCGUUAAUCGGAUUUACUGGGCGUAAAGCGUGCGUAGGCGGCUAAUUGAGUCGGAUGUGAAAUCCCCGAGCUUAACUUGGGAAUUGCAUUCGAUACUGGUUAGCUAGAGUGUGGGAGAGGAUGGUAGAAUUCCAGGUGUAGCGGUGAAAUGCGUAGAGAUCUGGAGGAAUACCGAUGGCAAAGGCAGCCAUCUGGCCUAACACUGACGCUGAGGUACGAAAGCAUGGGGAGCAAACAGGAUUAGAUACCCCAGUAGUCCCUGUCUCUUAUAA